AAUCGAUCAGCAGUCGCUCGUUCAUAAAUUUAUUACCGUCUAGCGCACACAUUGUGUUGGUGUUUCAAUUUAUAAAUGGUGAGUGAAAUUUCACGAUUUUAUUGCAGAUUUUGUUGUUUUGCUUUUGUUGUUUUGUGUUUAUGAUGUUUAUAAUUCAUUGUCAAUGUGUUUGCGCCAGGGUAAGACGAGAAAAACACGAAAAUUUGCGGCUGUUAAAAGGAUCAUCUCGGCCAAUGAUCCCAGGAUGUGAGUUUACUGAAUUCUUGAUAAGUUGGUUAUUGUUGAUUCAGUCAAUCAGAUAAUGUUUAUGAGAGCAACGAGACAUUGACCCGAUAUUAUACUAGAGCCGGAUCAUUACAUUUGUCUUUCAAUACAUCUUCCUUGGUUUUUACUCGUUUCCAACCACCAAACUGACAUAAGUAG